rnacentral:lncRNA from 1 species
AUCACCAUCCUCACCGGCGUCUUCUACUGGAUCGCCCAGCUCCUCGGCGCCAUCGUCGGCGCCGUCCUCGUCCAGUUCUGCACCGGCGUGGUAAGCCUUCUUUCUUGCAUGCACCUCACCGCCAGAGCUGAGCUCUCAGCCUGAUCCGUCACUCACUCACUGACGCCGCCGUGGGUGGCCGUUGGUUUGCAGGCGACACCGACGCACGGGCUGUCCGGCGUGGGCGCGUUCGAGGGCGUGGUGAUGGAGAUCAUCGUCACCUUCGGGCUGGUGUACACCGUGUACGCCACCGCCGCCGACCCCAAGAAGGGGUCGCUCGGCACCAUCGCGCCCAUCGCCAUCGGCUUCAUCGUCGGCGCCAACAUCCUCGUCGCCGGCCCCUUCUCCGGCGGCUCCAUGAACCCGGCGCGCUCCUUCGGCCCCGCCGUCGCCAGCGGCGACUACACCAACAUCUGGAUCUACUGGGUCGGCCCCCUCGUCGGCGGCGGCCUCGCCGGCCUCGUCUACCGGUA